rnacentral:rRNA from 1 species
CACGUAUUUAGCCGGAGCUUCUUAGUCGGGUACCGUCACUUUCUUCCCUGCUGAUAGGGCUUUACAUACCGAAAUACUUCUUCACCCACGCGGCGUUGCUGCAUCAGGGUUCCCCCCAUUGUGCAAUAUUCCCCACUGCUGCCUCCCGUAGGAGUCUGGGCCGUGUCUCAGUCCCAAUGUGGCCGUCCACUCUCUCAAGCCGGCUACUGAUCGCUGCCUUGGUAGGCCGUUACCCCGCCAACUAGCUAAUCAGACGCGGGCCCAUCCUGUACCACCGGAGUUUUCCCCGCAGCGCCAUGCGGCACCGCGGGCUUAUGCGGUAUUAGCAGCCGUUUCCAGCUGUUGUCCCCCUGUACAGGGCAGGUUACCCACGCGUUACUCACCCGUCCGCCACUAGGCUGUAUGCUGCUUCCGCCCGAAAGCUUCCGCUGCAUACGCCCCGUUCGACUUGCAUGUGUUAGGCACGCCGCCAGCGUUCAUCCUGAGCCAGGAUCAAACUCU